rnacentral:lncRNA from 1 species
AAUUAUUAUUGCACAUAGGUUAAGUACGAUUGCAUCAGCUGAAUUAAUUGUUCUUUUAAACAAAGGACGAAUAGUUGAAAGUGGAACACAUGAUUAUUUACUAAAAUUAAAUGGAGAAUACUCUGAAAUGUGGAAUAUGCAAUCAGGGCCGAAUGAUAUAUAUACAGAGGACGGACUUGCGUCUACUUAUGACAACAAAAGUGCAAAUGAAGGGCCAACAGAUAAUGACGAUGGUGCGAAUGUUACAAGUGCGAAUAGUGCUGCUACGAAUGGUGCUGCUACGAAUGGUGCUGCUACGAAUGGUGCUNNNNNNNNNNAUGGUGCUGCUACGAAUGGUGCUGCUACGAAUGGUGCUGCUACGAAUGGUGCUGCUACGAAUGGUGCUGCUACGAAUAGUACUGCUACGAAUAGUGCUGCUACGAAUGGUGCUGCUACGAAUGGUGCUGCUACAAAUAGUGCUGCUACAAAUAGUGCUGCUACAAAUAUCGUAUCGGAUACAGUUAAAUAUGACACAACUUCUAAUCAAAUAAAUAGCGCCUCAUACAAUCAGGAGGGACACAUGAAAAAUGACAAUGGAAGUGGAAGUGGACCUUACCGAGGUGCUGCUACUCAAUACGAUAACAGUAGCACUCGUCCUUACAUAGACAAUAAUUCUUUUAAUCAAAAUAAUAAUAUACACUCAUCAGGUAUUACUAGUAGCAUAUAUAUGGAUAAUCCUGAUACUCAUCAUAAAAAUCGAGGUAACGAAGAUAGGGCAAAAAAUGAUGCAAACAGUGCCGAAUCAAGCAAUAUGCAUUUUAAUAAUAAAAUAUUGAACAAUAAUAAUAAAAUAAUGAACAGUAAUAAUAAAAUAAUGAACAGUAAUAAUAAAAUAAUGAACAGUAAUAAUAAUAAUAAUAAUGUCGAUACGAUGCCUACUAAUAAUGUUAUUACAAAUGAAUAUGACAAUAGGGCAACUGAAGAUAAAACUUUAAUUAAAACUGAAGCCCACGUUAAUGACACCACAUGUGACAAUAUAAAUCGUGAUGAUACCAAUGAAGACAACAAUGCAAAAUUGUAAUAUCAAUACGAAUGAUUAUAAUCAUGAAUAAAGUAACAAAAGCUAUGAUCA